AGAGCGAACGCUGGCGGCAUGCUUAACACAUGCAAGUCGCACGGCUGGGGAAACCCAGCAGUGGCGGACGGGUGAGUAACGCGUAGGUAUCUAUCUCUGGGUGGGGGACAACUGUGGGAAACUACAGCUAAUACCGCAUGAAGCCUGAGGGCCAAAGCAGCAAUGCGCCUGGAGAGGAGCCUGCGUACGAUUAGCUUGUUGGUGGGGUAAUGGCCCACCAAGGCGACGAUCGUUAGCUGGUCUGAGAGGAUGAUCAGCCACACUGGGACUGAGACACGGCCAGACUCCUACGGGAGGCAGCAGUGGGGAAUAUUGGACAAUGGGCGCAAGCCUGAUCCAGCAAUGCCGCGUGAGUGAAGAAGGUCUUCGGAUUGUAAAAGCUCUUUCGACGGGGACGAUGAUGACGGUACCGUAGAAGAAGCCCGGCUAACUCGUAGCCAGCAGCCGC
rnacentral:rRNA from 1 species